GAGGGAGAAUGCUGUGGAGGGGAAUCCUGUACUAGGAAGAGAGAGGAAGGGCCGGGAUGUGUAUUCUCAGGGCAGCCAUGAGAGACUACCACCUGGGUUAGGACAUCCCCCCAAGGUCAGAAAGAAGGUAAUGAAGAAAUGCCUCUUCCCACAGGACAGGGCCCUCCCAGUGCACUCCGUGGACUGGUAAUAGCUGUUCCUUUUCGGGAUUUAUGAGUGUUACAAAUAUUUGGGAUCUGCCUAAAACCCACAGAAUCAGAAACUCUGGGGGUGGAGUCCAGUAGUUUGUGUUUCAACAAGCACCCCCAAACACCUCUGGGGGUCCGAGGCUCUUCCAGCUGGAGCACCGUUGCUCCUGGACAAAGGUUUCCCUCUCAUAACAGCAUGGGGAGGGUUGGACUGCCAGUGACUUACAAGACCAGGGCCAGCUGGCUUUCCUCCAUGGAAGGAACCUGGCCUGGAGGCUUAGUGGCUUGGAACACAAGUCAGCUGUGAGCAUUUGACCGCUCCUCCGAGACCGCUCAUGCGGCUGGCCUAGGUUCAAAGGAAGCUGCUAGUUAGAGUUCAGCUUGGAGCUUGGCUUGAACAUGACCACCAACGAAGAUAUAACAGUGUCUGCGUGUUCACCGAGGCUCUUCCUUUGUACAAUAACGUUUUCUUUCCACAGGCAAACAGAAUGUCUACCUCGUGCCAGGGGGCAGCUUUGAUAGGCUGUUGCGUGCUUUGCCCGCCCCCCCCAAAUGUUUCAAGAGCCUAAGGUGAAACUGUGCUGGUCGACAUAAGAAUAGUUCAAGGGGAAGAGGCCGGGUCUCCACAGCUGGGUUGUACUCCAGGAGCCCAGAAGGAAGGGUGCAGAGCCUUGGGUCCUUCUGCGUUGGGAAGAAGCCAUCUGGGCCAAUCUGGGCAAACACAGACGUGUGGUCUGGAGAGGCUCUAUACAAGUGCCAAGGCAUCUUCUUCUGCUCUUGUCUGGACAUUUGGCAGCAGCCCCCUCCCAAUUCUAAACCCUUGAUGCUAAAGAGUGCUUAAUUUUGUCUGGACCAAUGCAGUUAAGAGCUGAAAUGUCCUACGUGUUUUCCAACCAAAUAUUGGUGGGAAACCAGCCAUAAGCACAGUAGAGUCUUCUGUUUCCUCUCCAGGGCUGACAGCUUCUGGUGCCUUCUUCCUGUAGCCAGGCCUAAUGGAUGAGUGCUCUUCAUGAGGCCUGAAGGGGCGGGGACUAGCUGAGCUGAAGGACUUAAUCAUGGGGAUAAAAAUGUGAGGCUGGGAACUCGGGAAGUAUCUUGGAAAUUUGACAACGUCUGGCCGACAGUUCUGGCUUUGGAGCUUUUGGGACAGGGGUCUGAGUAACCUGCACCUCAUUGGCUAUUUGGUCACAGUCCCUUGACACUCUGCCUCAGCUCCCUCGAUGCUUACAGAGAGGCCUAAGUGAAGGCUGUGUGCAGUGCGGCUCUUGAUGAAGUCGAACCACCACAACGUACCCACUCUUGUGGAUCUCCUUUUCUUUCUUGAGUUUGUGCGCACGCGCGCACACACACACAGACACAGACACAGACACACACACACACUUCUGAUAUUCACAUGCAUGCAUACCCAUACACAGGUACACAUACAUGCCUGACCUUCACACACACAUACAUGUACCUAUGACCUUCACACAAACGUACAUUUACAUUUUUCAUGCAUUAUAUGUCUUCAUAAGAGCAAUGUUACUCAACUGUUUUCCUGUUUCAAAUUGUAUUACAUUUUAAUUAUUUAAUGUGUGUGUGCAAGUGCUAAAGUGCAUGUGUGAAGGUCAGAGGUCAUUUCAGGAGUCAUUUCUCUCCUUCCACCAUGUGGGUCCUGAGGAUCAAUCUCAGGUUGUUAGGGCUGGUGAAACUUUCUUUACCCACUGAGCUGCCUCGCUGGCUCCUGCUUAACUAUUUUCAAACAUUGAAGUUACAUACUUAAUCGUGUACAUGUUUUUCUGGUAUAAAAAUUGAUUCAUUGAAAUUGAAAUGAUUCAUUCAAUUAGAUUUUUAAAUAAUAAAUGACUGAAGUAGAAGGAUUUGGUGGUAUAUACCCACUCGUUUUACCAAAAGACUUCAGUUGAUUAGUUCUGCUACUGGCGAUGUCUGGGUCAGAUGUUUACCCAUGUGAGAAUAGGGCUGAGAGAGAUGCCCUAAAAGGAGGAGAGAUCUCCUUUGGCUCAGAUUUCUGAGCUGAAAUCUCAUGGCUGCUGUGGGGGUCCAUGGCAGGCGGUAUGGAGCGGAUCGUGUCUCCAGCCCACUAUCUCCAGCCCACUAAAGGGGCUAACUCAUCCUGACCAGAAAGUGUCAGAAGGGAAGGAAGUGUCCAAGAGGAUGUGCCUAGGAACCUCCUCCCUCCAGAGAGGCCCCACCCCCUAAAGCUUCUAACCCUUCCCAAUAGCAUCAGCAGCUGGGACCAAGCCUUCCACGCGCACACGCUAGCAUUUGGGGGGCAGCGUCGAGUAGUGGUUCUCAACCUUCCUAACACUGAGACCCUUGAACACAGUUCCUCAUGUUGUGGUGCCCACAUCCAUUAUUGUCAUUGCUACUUCACAACUGUGAUUUUGCUACUGUUAUGAAUAAUAAUGUAAAUGUCUGAUAUGCAGGAGAUCUGAAAUGUGACCCCCCCACAAAGGGGUCACAACCCACGUGUUGAGAACCACGGGUCUAGAUCCAAAUGCUGAGACUAUGUAAGGCAGAGCUCACUUUGCCAUGAUUACUCAUAUCGUAAUCCACAUAUACAUCUUGAAGAACGCAUAGCACAGAACAUGACAAUCUUAGAGGUAGAACUGGAACCCCGGCUGUGAGCUCUCCGUGCAUUUCUUCAUGUCAGGCAUGUUUGCAGUCUUUGUUUGUUUUUCCAAAAAUUUCCCUACUUCUUUGUGUCUCAUUGAGCGAGGGCGGCUCCUGCCUAGUGUUAUGUUGGAUCUUAGAAUGAGAAACCUUUCCAGUGUGGAUUCUGCUUCAUGGCUGUGA
rnacentral:lncRNA from 1 species